AAGACCACACUUUCAAAGAUCAUUUCUCUCAUUUGCUACCAGAGAAGUUUCUCUGAUCUUAUAGAGUACUAGAAGCAGGCACAGUGCUCUACUCUGAGCAUGAAACUGACACUUGGCAUUGCUUUACUGUAACUGCUAUUUGCUAUUGAUGAUCAGUCUUCGUUUCCUUUGGAGAGCAGGAGGAAGAGGAUACAGUGUAGU
rnacentral:snoRNA from 1 species